GUCAUCCUGAAUUGGUUCAGUGGUAGAAUGCUCGCCUGCCACGCGGGCGCCCCGGGUUCGAUUCCCGGCCGAUGGUU
rnacentral:tRNA from 1 species